rnacentral:ncRNA from 2 species
UCAAAAUAUACCAAGUAGGACUCAGGGAAGUGCGGUUAAAAUCCGCCGCUGCCCCCGCAACUGUAAGCCUGACGAAAGUCUUGUUCAGAAAACCACUGCGAAAGCGGGAAGGUUAAGACAAAUAGGAUGACGGCAAGCCAGGAUACCUGACCUGCAAUAUACCAGCGG